rnacentral:rRNA from 1 species
GACGAACGCUGGCGGCGUGCUUAACACAUGCAAGUCGAACGGUGAAGGGAUCAGCUUGCUGGUUCUGGAUGAGUGGCGAACGGGUGAGUAACACGUGAGUAACCUGCCCCCUUCUUCUGGAUAACCGCAUGAAAGUGUGGCUAAUACGGGAUAUUCUGGGUCUGUCGCAUGAUGGGUCUGGGAAAGAUAUUGUUUCGGUGGGGGUUGGGCUCGCGGCCUAUCAGCUUGUUGGUGGGGUGAUGGCCUACCAAGGCGGUGACGGGUAGCCGGCCUGAGAGGGUGGACGGUCACACUGGGACUGAGACACGGCCCAGACUCCUACGGGAGGCAGCAGUGGGGAAUAUUGCACAAUGGGCGCAAGCCUGAUGCAGCGACGCCGCGUGAGGGAGGGAGGCCUUCGGGUUGUAAACCUCUUUCGCCAGUGAAGCAGGCCUGCUCCUUGUGGGUGGGUUGACGGUAGCUGGAUAAGAAGCGCCGGCUAACUACGUG